rnacentral:rRNA from 1 species
UGGCUACGAGGACGAACGCUGGCGGCGUGCUUAACACAUGCAAGUCGAACGGAAAGGCCCUGCUUUUGUGGGGUGCUCGAGUGGCGAACGGGUGAGUAACACGUGAGUAACCUGCCCUUGACUUUGGGAUAACUUCAGGAAACUGGGGCUAAUACCGGAUAGGAGCUCCUGCUGCAUGGUGGGGGUUGGAAAGUUUCGGCGGUUGGGGAUGGACUCGCGGCUUAUCAGCUUGUUGGUGGGGUAGUGGCUUACCAAGGCUUUGACGGGUAGCCGGCCUGAGAGGGUGACCGGCCACAUUGGGACUGAGAUACGGCCCAGACUCCUACGGGAGGCAGCAGUGGGGAAUAUUGCACAAUGGGCGGAAGCCUGAUGCAGCAACGCCGCGUGCGGGAUGACGGCCUUCGGGUUGUAAACCGCUUUCGCCUGUGACGAAGCGUGAGUGACGGUAAUGGGUAAAGAAGCACCGGCUAACUACGUG